GUGAAAAUAACCUCAAGGGAUUUGUUAAGCUUGGAAAAAGCUAGAGCAAUUAUAAUUAAUAUGACAAUGGUUCCAAGUGUAGGCGAUAUAUAUAGGAACUGUGAGAUCAAGUCAAUAACAAAUUAUGGUGCUUUUGUAGAGAUAGCACUUGGACGGGAGGGACUUUUCCAUGUUAGUGAGUUGAGUUCGAAUUAUAUAACAAAGCCAGAAGACAUAAGCUUUUUUUUUUUU